GUCCGGCUGACGAGUCCCAAACAGGACGAAACGCGCGUCCUGGAU
rfam:Schistosoma margrebowiei strain Zambia genome assembly, scaffold: SMRZ_contig0001605